rnacentral:rRNA from 1 species
CCGUGCGAAGGUAGCAUAAUCACUUGUUCUCUAAAUGGGGACUUGUAUCAACGGCAUCACGAGGGUUACACUGUCUCCUUUCUCCAAUCAGUGAAACUGAUCUCCCCGUGAAGAAGCGGGGAUAAGAAUAUAAGACGAGAAGACCCCAUGGAGCUUUAAGCUCAACAACACCUCUACAAUAUACCUCCUCUUAAACUACGAGACCUGUCUGUUAGCUUUAGGUUGGGGUGACCGCGGAGUAUAAUAUAACCUCCACGACUGACGGGACUAACCCCUUAUCCAAGAGCCACUGCUCUAAGAAUCAUUAAUUUGAUGUAAAAUGAUCCGUUCUUCGAUCAACGAACCAAGUUACCCUGGGGAUAACAGCGCAAUCUACUUCAAGAGCUCCUAUCGACAAGUAGGUUUACGACCUCGAUGUUGGAUCAGGGUAUCCUAGUGGUGCAGCCGCUACUAAAGGUUCGUUUGUUCAACGAUUAAAACCCUACGUGAU